UUCCACUUCUAUUUUUUCUUCCACUUCUUUGUUCUUCUUUUUCUUUUCACUUCCGUUUAUUUCUUCUACUGUCUUGGACAAAAUCCAGAAGCAGAACGGAAUGAAGGUGGACUUGAAGACUGAAAUUGAAUCAGAGAUGGACCUGGAGAUGGGUACGCAGGAGCUUCCACAAAGUAAAUGGGAGAUGGGGUUGUGUCUUUAUUCUUGGCGAGAGACCUCUUAAUUUGUCAUUGGUGUUUCCUUAGGACAGCAACCCAUUUGUAGGCCGAAGCGGUGCCAUCUCAAAGUAGUAAUUUAGAGCACCAUCAUCCAAAACAUGCGAUGGAAUCACGGUGUGGGGAUCGUUGUUUCUCAUUGUUUCAUUUGUAGAGCAGCACCAUGAAAGGCCAAAGACAGUCUUCAGCAAUUUCCUUGCCAGAUUUUGGUGAAGGCGCAAUUAGAUCACCAAGCUUCACCUUCUUGGCCUCCUCUUUCAUGGCUUCAAUAGUGCUCCUUCAUCAUGGAGAAUAGAUUUAGCUUUUUGCAGGCCUCAAGUUGAAGGAGAAAAAAAUUAACUUCCUUAUUGCUUAUUUUGCAGGUGUCACAAGGAGGACACAUAGAUUAUUGCGGACAUUGAGAGUACAGAACAAGGACAACGUGCUGCAGUGUCAUAAAUUGUCGAAAGUUCCAGAGCCUUGAUUCCGAAGGGUUUUAAUUAUAGAUGGGUGGAGAUUUGGGGAUUCCUACGUUCCCUGAAGAAGACUGGGUGCCCAAUAUAAUCACAUGAUAAAAUGGGUUGGUGAAUCUGAACCUUUGAGCUGAUCAUCGAAUGGUAGCUGAUUUGUAUGUUGGUACCCGUGCAAGCCGAGAGUUCAAAGGCAUGUCCCUCUUGGAGCAUCUGUUGCUGAUUUGUAUGCAGGAGCAGGUGUUAUCAGAUUAUCAUUGGCUGCUACAAGAAAAUGCAGG